CUUAAGGUUCAUCUGAAAAAUGAAAUGGCCCCCCGGUACAUAGUUGUGUAUUCUUCGUUGUGGGUCCUUCUACUUGUGGCAUGUGGGGCGCUGCCUCAGCGUGGUUUGAUGAGCAGUGCCAUGUCCGCGCCCAGGAUUCGAACCAACGAAACACUGGGCCGCCUGCAGCGGAGCACGCGAACUUAACCACUCGGCCACGGGGCCAGCCCCUAAGCUAUUCGAGGCGUUGAAGAAUAGCUACAAUUUCAGCCUGUCCCCAGCCCAGCAAAACCCUGCCUCCACAAGGCAGGAGAAGUUUCCUCUCCCGCCUUCUGAGAGCUCAUGGUCCCUGACCUCACCUUGGCUGCUCCUGCAGAGGCGGGAGCACUUCCUGAGGACGUGGGAGGAUUUGCGCAUCUCUCCACCAGCCUCGCCUUGGCACUGGGAUCUCUGCUCCUUAUUUGGAAGGGCAGCCUGGUGAGAUUCUGGUAGUGAUCCUGAUCUGAGGCUCAUGCUAACCCUGAUAUUAUCAGUUACAACCACCACAGCAGCACAAUUACCAUUUUUUGAGUGUUCUUGAUGAGGAACUGUGCCAGUCAUUUUUCGUACUUUAUCUUGUUUAAGGCCAUCUACACAGUGCAGGAACUGGGAGCUUCUUCUGUAAAUGGUAAAUAUUUUUGGCUUUGCCAGCUGCAUGGUUUCCGUUGUGACCCCUCAAUCCUGCUAUUAUGAUUCGAAAGCAGCCCCAGACAGUAUGUAAACAAAUGGACAAAUGGACGUGACUGUGAGCCAAUGAAACUCUGUUUACAAACACCGGGUGGGCUGGACUUGACCACCCUGAUG
rnacentral:lncRNA from 1 species